rnacentral:rRNA from 1 species
UAAAUUGGUACUAAUACCCCAUAAUAUCAUAGAAGGCAUCUUUUAUGGUUGAAAAUUCCUAUGGUUAGAGAUGGGCAUGCGUUGUAUUAGCUAGUUGGUGGGGUAACGGCUCACCAAGGCGACGAUACAUAGGGGGACUGAGAGGUUAACCCCCCACACUGGUACUGAGACACGGACCAGACUCCUACGGGAGGCAGCAGUGAGGAAUAUUGGUCAAUGGACGCAAGUCUGAACCAGCCAUGCCGCGUGCAGGAUGACGGCUCUAUGAGUUGUAAACUGCUUUUGUACGAGGGUAAACGCAGAUACGUGUAUCUGUCUGAAAGUAUCGUACGAAUAAGGAUCGGCUAACUCCGUGCCAGCAGCCGCGGUAAUACGGAGGAUUCAAGCGUUAUCCGGAUUUAUUGGGUUUAAAGGGUGCGUAGGCGGUUUGAUAAGUUAGAGGUGAAAUUUCGGGGCUCAACCCUGAACGUGCCUCUAAUACUGUUGAGCUAGAGAGUAGUUGCGGUAGGCGGAAUGUAUGGUGUAGCGGUGAAAUGCUUAGAGAUCAUACAGAACACCGAUUGCGAAGGCAGCUUACCAAACUAUAUCUGACGUUGAGGCACGAAAGCGUGGGGAGCAAACAGGAUUAGAUACCCUGGUAGUCCACGCAGUAAACGAUGAUAACUCGUUGUCGGCGAUACACAGUCGGUGACUAAGCGAAAGCGAUGAGUUAUCCACCUGGGGAGUACGUUCGCAAGAAUGAAACUCAAAGGAAUUGACGGGGACCCG